UACGUAGGGUGCAAGCGUUGUCCGGAAUUAUUGGGCGUAAAGAGCUCGUAGGCGGUUUGUCGCGUCUGCUGUGAAAACUCGGGGCUUAACUCCGGGCCUGCAGUGGGGUACGGGCAGACUAGAGUGCGGUAGGGGAGACUGGAAUCCUGGUGUAGCGGUGAAAUGCGCAGAGUAUCAGGAGGAACACCGGUGGCGAAGGCAGCUCGCUGGGACGUAACUGACGCUGAGACGCGAAAGCGUGGGGAGCAAACAGG
rnacentral:rRNA from 1 species